GACGAACGCUGGCGGCGUGCCUACUACAUGCAAGUCGAACGCAGUGGGGACGGGUGAGUACCACGUGGGUAACCUCCCAUCAGAGGGGAUAACCCUUGGAAACAGGUGCUAAACCGAUAUUUAUGGAUGGACCCGCUGUGCAUUAGCUAGUUGGUGAGGUAACGGCUCACCAAGGCCACGAUGCAUAGCCGAACUGUGCGAGGGAUCGGCCACACUGGGAUUUGGGCACGGCCGCGCAUCCUACGGGAGGCAGCAGUAGGGAAUCUUCGGCAAUGUACGAAAGUCUGACCGAGCAACGCCGAGUGAGUGAAGAAGGUUUUCGGAUCGUAAAACUCUGUUGUUAGAGAAGCGGUAUCUAACCAGAAAGCCACGGCUAACUACGUGCCAGCAGCCGCGGUAAUAC
rnacentral:rRNA from 1 species